rnacentral:rRNA from 1 species
AGCGAACGCCGGCGGCAGGCCUAACACAUGCAAGUCGAACGAACUCUUCGGAGUUAGUGGCGGACGGGUGAGUAACACGUGGGAACGUGCCUUUAGGUUCGGAAUAACUCAGGGAAACUUGUGCUAAUACCGAAUGUGCCCUUCGGGGGAAAGAUUUAUCGCCUUUAGAGCGGCCCGCGUCUGAUUAGCUAGUUGGUGAGGUAAAGGCUCACCAAGGCGACGAUCAGUAGCUGGUCUGAGAGGAUGAUCAGCCACAUUGGGACUGAGACACGGCCCAAACUCCUACGGGAGGCAGCAGUGGGGAAUCUUGCGCAAUGGGCGAAAGCCUGACGCAGCCAUGCCGCGUGAAUGAUGAAGGUCUUAGGAUUGUAAAAUUCUUUCACCGGGGACGAUAAUGACGGUACCCGGAGAAGAAGCCCCGGCUAACUUCGUG